rnacentral:lncRNA from 1 species
UGUGGUCUCUUGCCUCAGGUAAUCGUUUCCGUUUCCUCCCUUAGAAAGUCUUUUUCCCUAGGAGUCUUCAUCGUUGUCCUUUACCUUCUUCCUCGCUUCCUCGUAGUUCUCUUCCUUCUUCCUCUCAUUCUUUGACUCCGGUUCUAGCAUAAUGGCUAGAACAUCUCCACAAGAAAGUCGGUCGGAGAACCCGACUAAUGAUUCUCGAUCGACCCCGGAGGUGGAGGUCUCUUCACUUUCGGGGCCGAACGUUGAUCGAC